rnacentral:lncRNA from 1 species
UUUGGCCAGAGUGUAACUAGAGGAGGGGAGGAGCCUCCGCCUCUCGGCCCAGCGCUGCAGGCGUGGAGGAUAUGAGGGAAAGGCCAGAGGGAGCAGCCAGGCCUCGAAGCAGUGUGCCCAAGGCAUCCAGGAGUAGAGUGUACAUCAUGCAAAGGUGUGUCAGCCCAGUACAGAGAUCCAGAUUCCAACAAACCCAAAAACAACUAGCAGGACCUUCAGGAAGCAGGGGAUAAUCUACAGGUGGACCAUCACAGGCAGCGGUACAUGACCUGCAGGCUGUUCACCAUGGAGAGGGAGAUGGGAGCAGCUGGAGCAUUUGAUCCGGUAACACCUAUGAGUCAUUCUCCCCUCACACAGUUAAACAGACACACAAUGUGACACACUACACUCAUUUUGCCGUCUCAUUUCAGUGUGGUACAUGAACAACUGCACUUGACAGAUGGUUCUGGUUGAAAACCCUGCGCGCUGUGACAGCUACACGCAGAUGGAGGUGCAGGGUGGAGGGCUCCUCCACUGAUACAACCCAGAGGGACUGGGCACGGCCUCA